AGUACGGUCGCAAGAUUAAAACUCAAAGGAAUUGACGGGGACCCGCACAAGCGGUGGAUGAUGUGGAUUAAUUCGAUGCAACGCGAAAAACCUUACCUACCCUUGACAUGUCACUAACGAAGUAGAGAUACAUUAGGUGCCCGUAAGGGAAAGUGAACACAGGUGCUGCAUGGCUGUCGUCAGCUCGUGUCGUGAGAUGUUGGGUUAAGUCCCGCAACGAGCGCAACCCUUGUCUUUAGUUGCUACGCAAGAGCACUCUAAAGAGACUGCCGGUGACAAACCGGAGGAAGGUGGGGAUGACGUCAAGUCCUCAUGGCCCUUAUGGGUAGGGCUUCACACGUCAUACAAUGGUGCGUACAGAGGGUUGCCAACCCGCGAGGGGGAGCUAAUCUCUUAAAACGCAUCGUAGUCCGGAUCGUAGUCUGCAACUCGACUACGUGAAGCUGGAAUCGCUAGUAAUCGCGGAUCAGCAUGUCGCGGUGAAUACGUUCCCGGGUCUUGUACACACCGCCCGUCACACCAUGGGAGUGGGUUUUGCCAGAAGCAGUUAGCCCAACCGUAAGGAGGGCGAUUGCCACGGCAGGGUUCAUGACUGGGGUG
rnacentral:rRNA from 1 species